GGUCCCAUCGUCUAGGGGUUAAGGACACUAGAUUCUCAAUCUAGUAACACCGGUUCGAAUCCGGUUGGGAUCA
rfam:Parcubacteria bacterium 34_609 MPI_scaffold_11020, whole genome shotgun sequence.